UACGAAGGGGGCUAGCGUUGUUCGGAAUUACUGGGCGUAAAGGGCGCGUAGGCGGCCUGCUAAGUCGAACGUGAAAUCCCUGGACUCAACCCAGGAACUGCGUCCGAUACUGGUUGGCUUGAAUCCGGGAGAGGGACGUGGAAUUCCAGGUGUAGCGGUGAAAUGCGUAGAUAUCUGGAGGAACACCGGUGGCGAAGGCGACGUCCUGGACCGGCAUUGACGCUGAGGCGCGAAAGCCAGGGGAGCAAACGGG
rnacentral:rRNA from 1 species